rnacentral:rRNA from 1 species
GACAGAGGGUGCAACCGUUGCUCGGAAUUACUGGGCGUAAAGCGCGUGUAGGCGGAUCGGAAAGUCGGGCGUGAAAUCCCCAGGCUCAACCUGGGAACUGCACCCGAAACUCCCGGUCUUGAGUGGUGGAGAGGGAAGUGGAAUUCCUGGUGUAGAGGUGAAAUUCGUAGAUAUCAGGAGGAACACCAGUGGCGAAGGCGGCUUCCUGGACACCAACUGACGCUGAGACGCGAAAGCGUGGGGAGCAAACAGG